CUACGUGACGUAUCCCUGUGCAGUUUGUAUAUCCUUGCGCCAUGCCAAUAUCCCCUUUUUCUUGCAAACCGUUUCAUUCCCCUCUUCAGAACAGUCCUAUUUUGCUGAAGGUCAUUUCCCCCGGAGAGUACAAAAAAAAAAAAAGAGUAAGAAAAAAAGAAAUAAGUAAAAAUAGGGUUAAAAAAAUGGAGACAUUCGGAAGACACGUUGUAUGUCUUCCCAUCGAGCUGUUGCAAGGUGAGUCGAUACUUAUCAGGUAAGUUACAAAAUAUAUUAUUUAUUGCUAAUUUGUUUGGCUGUAUAGAAGCUGCAGAAUUGAGAUAUAAGUGGGAACAAGAGGAGAAGAGAAUAGACACCAAUAAAAACAAAAAAUGCAAACGCAUAGACAGUAGUUAUCAGAUUUUCUUCUCUUCAAUAGCGAUAACGUCAAAGAUACGUUAUUAAAAAUAACAGUAAUAAUUAUUGAGUGAAAGAUCAGGGUCUAAAAU